CUGGAGUGAAGAACAACUAAGUCCAUGCCUUGAGGUCUACAAAGCUCAUAACCCAACAGUCACUUAGUUUGCCUGGCUCAACUCCCCAAACUGUUUUGGAAGAGUUUGGCGAAUUCAAGUGAUGGAUUUUGUUCAGCUCAUCUAACUUCUCCUGAGGCCCCUGGAAUAUAUAUGACCAAGAAACAAGCACAUCCUUAAGAUGGGAACAAUGCAAAGAAGUUUUGCAUGCAAAAUGCUCCAUGUUUAAUCCCCAAGCAUUUCCAGGAAAGAUGAGCCUGUAACAUUUUCCCUCGGUGUAUACCUGAGAUCAACUUAUAUUUCACUUGUACUGUAUAUGAGUAUAUACGAAAAGUUACCAGGAGAGAUGGAUUCGUUGUUGCCUGCCUAUUUUAUUCCAUCGUCUCCUGUUGAGAAGUUGGAAACAACUCAUUUUAAAGGCUUCUUUCUUUCCCACAACCAGAGGUGGCAUUUCAACACCUCAUUCCAGAAGAAGAGUGGCUGUUGGUAGUGGC
rnacentral:lncRNA from 11 species